rnacentral:rRNA from 1 species
AUGGGUCGGAAAGCUGGGCUGUACAUAAACUCAAAGAAGUUUGGCGGCGUCGUUAAGCCGUGCAUGCUGGAGAUGACGGCCUUCCUCAACUGCCUCGCCUUGAACAAGCAGAUCGAUCAAAGUAAUUCCAUAUCUAGCGAUGAUUAUCUCAGUAAGUCUACUAGAAUUGUGUUGUCCUUGUACAUAAACAUCCAGGAAAAGGGUUUUUCAUCUGGAGAUAAUAAACUAUGUCAAAUAUGA